UGGGGAAUAUUGCACAAUGGGCGCAAGCCUGAUGCAGCCAUGCCGCGUGUAUGAAGAACGCCUUCGGGUUGUAAAGUACUUUCAGUCGGGAGGAAGGUGUCAAGGUUAAUAACCUUGGCAAUUGACGUUACCGACAGAAGAAGCACCGGCUAACUCCGUGCCAGCAGCCGCGGUAAUACGGAGGGUGCAAGCGUUAAUCGGAAUUACUGGGCGUAAAGCGCACGCAGGCGGUUGAUUGAGUCAGAUGUGAAAUCCCCGGGCUUAAACCGGGAAUUGCAUCUGAUACUGGUCAGCUAGAGUCUUGUAGAGGGGGGUAGAAUUCCAUGUGUAGCGGUGAAAUGCGUAGAGAUGUGGAGGAAUACCGGUGGCGAAAGCGGCCCCCUGGACAAAGACUGACGCUCAGGUGCGAAAGAGUGGGGAGCAAACAGG
rnacentral:rRNA from 1 species